rnacentral:rRNA from 1 species
GAUUAUGGCUCAGGAUGAACGCUAGCGACAGGCUAACACAUGCAAGUCGAGGGGCAGCAUAAAAGUAGCAAUACGUUGGUGGCGACCGGCGCACGGGUGAGUAACGCGUAUGCAACCUACCUAUCGAGAGGGGAAUAACCCGGCGAAAGUCGGACUAAUACCGCAUAAAACAGGGGCACCGCAUGGUGAUAUUUGUUAAAGAAAUUCGCUGAUAGAUGGGCAUGCGUUCCAUUAGGUAGUUGGUGAGGUAACGGCUCACCAAGCCGACGAUGGAUAGGGGAACUGAGAGGUUGGUCCCCCACACUGGUACUGAGACACGGACCAGACUCCUACGGGAGGCAGCAGUGAGGAAUAUUGGUCAAUGGGCGAGAGCCUGAACCAGCCAAGUCGCGUGAAGGAAGAAGGAUCUAUGGUUCGUAAACUUCUUUUGCAGGGGAAUAAAGUGCAGGACGUGUCCUGUUUUGUAUGUACCCUGAGAAUAAGGAUCGGCUAACUCCGUGCCAGCCGCCGC